rnacentral:misc_RNA from 1 species
GAUGAAGAACGUAGCGAAAUGCGAUAAGUAAUGUGAAUUGCAGAAUUCAGUGAAUCAUCGAAUCUUUGAACGCACAUUGCGCCCCUUGGUAUUCCGAAGGGCAUGCCUGUUCGAGCGUCAUUAUAACCCCUCAAGCUCAGCUUGGUGUUGGGGCCUGCUGCACUGGCAGCCCUUAAAAUCAGUGGCGGCGCCAUCUGGCUCUAAGCGUAGUAAUUCUUCUCGCUAUGGAGUCCUGGUGGAUGCUUGCCAUCAACCCCCAAUUUUUCUAUGGUUGACCUCGGAUCAGGUAGGGAUACCCGCUGAACUUAAGCAUAUCAAUAAGCGGAGGA